rnacentral:ncRNA from 2 species
AAGGGAAGUCCGGUGCGAAUCCGGCGCGGUCCCGCCACUGUGACCGGGUAAUACGUCGUCGCACGACCAGCCGCCACAGCGGCAGUCAGCCACUGGGGACGCCACAGCGAUCCCGGGAAGGCGCGGCGCGGGUCCCGGAAGCCAGGAGACCU